rnacentral:rRNA from 1 species
CUGGCAGUAGUCAUACGCUUGUCUAAAAGAUUAAGCCAUGCAUGUCUGAGUAAAAGCAAAUUUUACCGCGAAACUGCGAAUGGCUCAUUAUAUCAGUACUAAUCUAUUUGAUAGUCCCUUACUACUUGGAUAACCGUAGUAAUUCUAGAGCUAAUACAUGCACUGAAGUCCCUGACGCUCGCGGAGGGGAUGCACUUAUUAGAUUGAAACCAACCCAGGGUUCGCUCUGGUCUUGUGGUGAGUCAUGAUAAGUUUGCGAAUCGCAUGCCCUCUGGGCGGCGAUGUUUCAUUCGAGUUUCUGCCCUAUCAGCUUUGGAUGGUAGGGUAUUGGCCUACCAUGGCUUUAACGGGUAACGGGGAAUUGGGGUUCGAUUCCGGAGAGGGAGCCUGAGAGAUGGCUACCACAUCCAAGGAAGGCAGCAGGCGCGUAAAUUACCCAAUCCUGACUCAGGGAGGUAGUGACAAUAAAUAACAAUACAGGGCUCACAGAGUCUUGUAAUUGGAAUGAGAACAAUUUAAAUCUCUUAACGAGGAUCAAUUAGAGGGCAAGUCUGGUGCCAGCAGCCGCGGUAAUUCCAGCUCCAAUAGCGUAUAUUAAAGUUGUUGCAGUUAAAAAGCUCGUAGUUGAACUUCAGGCCCGACGGGGUGGUCUGCCUCACGGUAUGUACUAUCCGGUUGGGCCUUACCUCCUGGUGAGCCCGUAUGUCGUUUACUCGGUGUGCGGGGGAACCAGGAAUUUUACUUUGAAAAAAUUAGAGUGUUCAAAGCAGG